CGUGUAGGCGGUUGGGUAAGUCAGAUGUGAAAGCCUUCUGCUUAACAGAAGAAGUGCAUUUGAAACUGCUCGGCUAGAGUACGGGAGAGGAGAGUGGAAUUCCCGGUGUAGAGGUGAAAUUCGUAGAUAUCGGGAGGAACACCAGUGGCGAAGGCGGCUCUCUGGUCCGAUACUGACGCUGAGACGCGAAAGCGUGGGGAGCAAACAGGAUUAGAUACCCUGGUAGUCCACGCCGUAAACGAUGGGCACUAGGUGUAGGAGGUAUUGACCCCUUCUGUGCCGAAGCUAACGCAUUAAGUGCCCCGCCUGGGGAGUACGGCCGCAAGGCUAAA
rnacentral:rRNA from 1 species